rnacentral:lncRNA from 1 species
UGCCCAGCAGAACCAACUCUACGUAAGAUAUAUUUGACAUUUUUAUUUAUUAUACAUUUAACGCCAAGAAGACAGCCAUGUCGAUAGGACUCCUCCUUGUCCCAGUACACAAGACAUUCAGAGCCACAGACAACUCUGGGAGCCCUGUCACAGCACAUUCAUUACUCCAUCCAGCAGGGACACAUCCUAAAAACGGAUCCAGUACAUGCCACUGCGGAUACGGUUGUAAUCCAACAGCUGUUCAAUGGGACCAACUGCUGCAAGCGCUGGGCAUUUGUCAUAGAUGUAUUUACUGCAUACAUCCCUCACCAUUCUUGCAUCAACAGCAGAAAUCCUGGAAUCCCAUUCCUCCAGAGAGAUACGGCGUCCAUAAUUUAAGAGAUGGCUUCCAAUUGUUUCACACACUGGAGUAGUACCAUCUAGCUGAGCCACCAUGGCACUUCGUAGAUGGUUCUUGGCUCUCUUCACCUCUGACUCCGUGGUGCUAGUGCACAAACGCAUCCACUCGCCCUGAG